rnacentral:rRNA from 1 species
UGGAAGUAAAAGUCGUAACAAGGUCUCCGUUGGUGAACCAGCGGAGGGAUCAUUACAGAGUUGCAAAACUCCAAACCAUUGUGAACUUACCUUUGCCGUUGCUUCGGCGGGCGGCCCGGGCCCUGUGCCCGGCGCCCCUCGGCCCCACUCGGGGCGCCCGCCGGAGGUAAACCAAACUCUUGAAUUGUAUGGCCUCUCUGAGUCUUCUGUACUGAAUAAGUCAAAACUUUCAACAACGGAUCUCUUGGUUCUGGCAUCGAUGAAGAACGCAGCGAAAUGCGAUAAGUAAUGUGAAUUGCAGAAUUCAGUGAAUCAUCGAAUCUUUGAACGCACAUUGCGCCCGCCAGUAUUCUGGCGGGCAUGCCUGUUCGAGCGUCAUUUCAACCAUCAAGCCCCGGGCUUGUGUUGGGGACCUGCGGCUGCCGCAGGCCCUGAAAACCAGUGGCGGGCUCGCUAGUCACUCCGAGCGUAGUAGUUUACACCUCGCUCAGGGCGUGCUGCGGGUUCCGGCCGUUAAAAGCCUUAUUUUACCCAAGGUUGACCUCGGAUCAGGUAGGAAGACCCGCUGAACUUAAGCAUAUCAAUAAGCGGAGG